rnacentral:rRNA from 1 species
AUGGACGCUGGCGGCGUGCCUAAUACAUGCAAGUCGAGCGAACGGACGAGAAGCUUGCUUCUCUGAUGUUAGCGGCGGACGGGUGAGUAACACGUGGAUAACCUACCUAUAAGACUGGGAUAACUUCGGGAAACCGUAGCUAAUACCGGAUAAUAUUUUGAACCGCAUGGUUCAAAAGUGAAAGACGGUCUUGCUGUCACUUAUAGAUGGAUCCGCGCUGCAUUAGCUAGUUGGUAAGGUAACGGCUUACCAAGGCAACGAUGCAUAGCCGACCUGAGAGGGUGAUCGGCCACACUGGAACUGAGACACGGUCCAGACUCCUACGGGAGGCAGCAGUAGGGAAUCUUCCGCAAUGGGCGAAAGCCUGACGGAGCAACGCCGCGUGAGUGAUGAAGGUCUUCGGAUCGUAAAACUCUGUUAUUAGGGAAGAACAUAUGUGUAAGUAACUGUGCACAUCUUGACGGUACCUAAUCAGAAAGCCACGGCUAACUACGUG